rnacentral:tRNA from 1 species
GGGCACGUAGCUCAGUUGGACAGAGCGUCGGACUUCUAACCCAUCCGGUGGUCGUGGGUUCGAAUCCCACCGUGCCCG